GGCCUGGCUGGUCGGUCCGCCUAACCGCGUGCACUGAUUCGGCCGGGUCUUUCCUUCUGGCUAACCCCAUGCCCUUCACUGGGUGUGGCGGGGAUCCAGGACUUUUACUUUGAAAAAAUUAGAGUGUUCAAAGCAGGCUUACGUCUGAAUACAUUAGCAUGGAAUAAUAAAAUAGGACGG
rnacentral:rRNA from 1 species